UCUGGUAAUGAUGGCAGAGAGGUCACACCCGUUCCCAUACCGAACACGGAAGUUAAGCUCUCUAGCGCCGAUGGUAGUUGGGACCUUGUCCCUGUGAGAGUAGGACNAUUAUUCCGC
rnacentral:rRNA from 1 species